CAGUUGUGGGUCCCGGGGGGUGGGGGACGGUGGCGGCGGUGGCUCGGUGCCCGGGCGGAGGCGGGUUAUGCAACGGCACAGCCUGUUCCCUCGCGCACCGCGUGUCACCGCGUGUCACCGCUGUCACCGCCGCCGGGCCACUGCCGUCACCCCCCCCCGGGCACGGGGGCCAUCGUGGGACCGCGACCUGCCACCGGCAGCUGGCGUGGGGGGACCAGCGCGGGGACAGCGGCCACCAGCAGGAGCUGGCACCGGGGCCACCAGCAGAGACGGGGUUCGCUCCCUCGGAUACAGCACAGCACACGGACUCCACCGAACCGCAACCCACCCUCCCCCAGAGUUCCUGGAAUAGAAAAUAAAAAGCCUCGGAGCCCAGCGGGCCACGUCGGCUCCCUCUCCGCCUCCUGUCCCGUCAGCCGACCGCGCGGGGCGCGUUAGGCUUCUUUAAAAAUAAAGUUAGAGCAGGUUAAUCCUU